GCCUGCCAGUCAACACCACCUCACGAGAUUGCCUGCUGCAGUUGUUCAAGAGAUGUCCAGUUUGCAGCCUAACAUGCAGCAUAGAGAAGACCAGCAAGGGGACGCUUAUCAGCAUUAUGCAGACAUGCCCUCGCUAUGAGCAGUCCUGUGAAUGCAACCGUCAGCCACAUGUUGGCAAGUAUCUGACCAGCAAGCUGUCAGCGGCCACAGCUUUCACAGGCUCAUCAUUUGUACAAAUACAGAAGGAGCUGAUCUACACUGCUAUGUCCAUAAAUAGGGCUCUGGCAAAAAAAGGACUCACCACUAGCCUCACACGCCUGUUCACCAACAGUCAUCGAUGGGGAGAACAGAAUUAGGAUCUACGUGAAGGAGUGUGAGCUGGAGAGGCAGUUGUCACCUGGAUGGGUGAAAAAGAAGUGGGAGAACUAUAAGAAAAAAUACACGGAGUUGAAAGCUCCCCCCACCAGAGUCAGCACAGAGGGAGGGGAGGCUACAGCCGCAUACUGGACGUGAUAUGUGGUGAUGGAUUAGGUGCGGCAGGGGCUGCAACUCCAUCACCCCACCUGUCAUCUUCUCCUCUCCAUCCCAGAAGGGUCCAGAUGUGGAGGAGGAAGAAAGUUCCCAGUUGUCUUGAAAGCACCAUGACCAUCAGAUGCAGAUACCUGUAUGGAGCCAGCACUUGGGAUACUUGAAAGAUGAUGUGAUGGAGUCCAGACUGACAGACGGCCUUGAUGCUGAUGUCUCUGAAUGGAGAGAGACCUUGCACUCAGCAAUAAAAUGAUACAAGACACA